GAUGAACGCUGGCGGCGUGCCUAAUACAUGCAAGUCGAGCGGUAAGGCCACUUCGGUGGUACACGAGCGGCGGACGGCUGAGUAACGCGUAGGAACGUACCCCAAACUGAGGGAUAAGCACCAGAAAUGGUGUCUAAUACCGCAUGUGCUCUAAGGAGUAAAGCUUCGGCGGUUUGGGAACGGCCUGCGUCUGAUUAGCUUGUUGGUGAGGUAAAAGCUCACCAAGGCGACGAUCAGUAGCUGGUCUGAGAGGAGGAUCAGCCAGACUGGGACUGAGACACGGCCCAGACUCCUACGGGAGGCAGCAGUAGGGAAUUUUCCACAAUGGGCGCAAGCCUGAUGGAGCAACGCCGCGUGCAGGAUGAAGGCCUUCGGGUCGUAAACUGCUUUUCUCUGUGACGAUUAUGACGGUAGCAGAGGAAUAAGGGUCGGCUAACUACGUGCCAGCAGCCGCCGUAA
rnacentral:rRNA from 1 species